rnacentral:rRNA from 1 species
AUUGAACGCUGGCGGCAUGCCUUACACAUGCAAGUCGAACGGCAGCACGGGAGCAAUCCUGGUGGCGAGUGGCGAACGGGUGAGUAAUAUAUCGGAACGUGCCCAGUCGUGGGGGAUAACGCAGCGAAAGCUGUGCUAAUACCGCAUACGAUCUAGGGAUGAAAGCGGGGGAUCGCAAGACCUCGCGCGAUUGGAGCGGCCGAUAUCAGAUUAGCUAGUUGGUGGGGUAAAGGCCCACCAAGGCGACGAUCUGUAGCUGGUCUGAGAGGACGACCAGCCUCACUGGAACUGAGACACGGUCCAGACUCCUACGGGAGGCGGCAGUGGGGAAUUUUGGACAAUGGGCGCAAGCCUGAGCCAGCAAUGCCGCGUGCAGGAUGAAGGCCUUCGGGUUGUAAACUGCUUUUGUACGGAACGAAACGGCCCUUUCUAAUACAAGGGGCUAAUGACGGUACCGUAAGAAUAAGCACCGGCUAACUACGUGCCAGCCGCCGCCGUAACAC